GAUGAACGCUGGCGGCGUGCCUAAUACAUGCAAGUCGAGCGAACAGACGAGGAGCUUGCUCCUCUGACGUUAGCGGCGGACGGGUGAGUAACACGUGGAUAACCUACCUAUAAGACUGGGAUAACUUCGGGAAACCGGAGCUAAUACCGGAUAAUAUAUUGAACCGCAUGGUUCAAUAGUGAAAGACGGUUUUGCUGUCACUUAUAGAUGGAUCCGCGCCGCAUUAGCUAGUUGGUAAGGUAACGGCUUACCAAGGCAACGAUGCGUAGCCGACCUGAGAGGGUGAUCGGCCACACUGGAACUGAGACACGGUCCAGACUCCUACGGGAGGCAGCAGUAGGGAAUCUUCCGCAAUGGGCGAAAGCCUGACGGAGCAACGCCGCGUGAGUGAUGAAGGUCUUCGGAUCGUAAAACGCUGUUAGUAGGGAAGAACAAAUGUGUAAGUAACGAUGCACGUCGUGACGGUACCUAAUCAGAAAGCCACGGCUAACUACGUG
rnacentral:rRNA from 1 species